rnacentral:tRNA from 1 species
GGGCCCCUCGCCCAGCCAGGAUUAUUCCUGAAAGGGCGCUAACGGUAAGGUGCGUAAGCCUGCGGAGCUAGUGGUCGCGGGUUCAAAUCCCGCGGGGCCCGCCA